rnacentral:tRNA from 1 species
GGCGCGGUCGCCAAGUGGUAAGGCAGAGCUCUGCAAAAGCUUUAUCGUCGGUUCGACUCCGUCCCGCGCCU